AGGAAAUGGGAGACAGGGUGCUUCUCCCUCGUCCUAGGGGACUAAAUGCAGCUGCUGGGAUAAGGCUGGGUGAUGGGGCCCUCUGCUGAUAAGAGAGAGAAAAAAAAAUGCCCAGAGAAAAUGGCAUUGGUUCCUAAUAUGGAGUGGAGAGCAUGCAUCAGAUGGCCUGUCCAUGGCCAAGCUGUCUCUGUGUCAUGGGCACAAGGAAGAGGUUAAAAAGUCUUGUUGCCUGAGUUUGUCUGGUAUCUGAAUAAACUGAAGUUAGUAAUUUUGCUUCCAUUUCUCCAGACUAUACUGACUGUUGGAAAAACUUUAUCCAAGGAGGUGCUGAUGGUGAUUUCUGGACCGGGGACUUUCAAUCGGCAGUAAAAAAGAAUCAUUUGAAGCUCAAGAACAUCUUUGAGGAUCUUCCAUUAAUAGAAUAUCUCAGCUUGGAAGGCACCCAUGAGGAUCAUUGAGUCCAACUCCCUGCUCCUCGCAGGACUACCUAAAACUAAACCAUAUGACUAAAAGUGUCGUCCAGACGCUCCUUGAACUCUGACAGGCUUGGUGCCGUGACCGCUUCCCUGGGGAGGCUGUUCAGUGACCGACCACCCUCUCAGUGAAGAACCUUUUCCUAAUGUCCAAGCUGAACUUCCCCUGACGCAGCUUCAUUUCAUUUCCUCUUGUUGUACGAUUUGGUGUACUACUUACAUAGAACUUGUUUAGCAUAACUUGCUCAGCAUUAAUAGCUGAAUUUGCUGAAGCCUUAGGCCGCAAGCUGUGAACUUUCAGCUAGAUAUGUUGAACUUUUACCUAGUCAAGUAAAAGAAGGCUCCAGAGCUGGUUCAAGGCAGAAUAUAAGGAAGCUACAUUCAUUAACAAAAGCUAGAACCUUAGAGAUAAGAAAAUAAACGGCCCGCCUAGACACAACGUAGGGACCCAAUGAAGAACAGGAAGACCCCAGUCCCUGAUAUUACCACUGGUCCAAACUGUUGCAUGAGGGGUGGGGAAUUUAGAUUGUAAGGGUAUAAUUGCCCAGGGAUUUCUUUGUUCAAGGUCCCUUUUCAGAGGCACCCAGCUCGAGCUGUAGCGCUAUUAAUAAAAAGUACUUUUAUAGAGGAAUCU